UUCGAAUCCUGCACGACCCACCAAUAUAAAAGGUGGUAACUGGUAGAGAACGUGAAGGAUAAUGUUGCUUUAGCAACGGCCCGAAGGGCGAGGCGAAGCCGAGUCAUCCUGCACGACCCACCA
rnacentral:sRNA from 1 species